ACGAAAUAAUCGUCAAGCUCGACUCAGACGUCUUUACAGAGAGUAACUCAAAAAUUGGGAAAACAGCAAAUAAAGUAUUCAGCACUCACAAUUAAGUAUGCAACACAGCAGCAAAACCAGACACUGAUGCACAACCAUCAGUACCACAACGACUACACAAUGUGAAAAUAUAGUACCACUAAUCAGGAGGUCUAGAAGGAGUCAUAGUACCACUAAUCAAGAGGUCUAGAAGGAGUCAUAGGUCCACUAAUCAGGAGGUCUAGAAGGAGUCAUAGUUCCACUAAUCAGGAGGUCUAGAAGGAGUCAUAGGUCCACUAAUCAGGAGGUCUAGAAGGAGUCAUAGUACCACUAAUCAGGAGGUCUAGAAGGAGUCAUAGUUCCACUAAUCAGGAGGUCGAGAAGGAGUCAUAGGUCCACUAAUCAGGAGGUCUAGAAGGAGUCAUAGUACCACUAAUCAGGAGGUCUAGAAGGAGUCAUAGUUCCACUAAUCAGGAGGUCUAGAAGGAGUCAUAGUUCCACUAAUCAGGAGGUCGAGAAGGAGUCAUAGUUCCACUAAUCAGGAGGUCUAGAAGGAGUCAUAGAUCCACUAAUCAGGAGGUCUAGAAGGAGUCAUAGUACCACUAAUCAAGAGGUCUAGAAGGAGUCAUAGUUCCACUAAUCAGGAGGUCGAGAAGGAGUCAUAGGUCCACUAAUCAAGAGGUCUAGAAGGAGUCAUAGGUCCACUAAUCAGGAGGUCUAGAAGGAGUCAUAGUUCCACUAAUCAGGAGGUCUAGAAGGAGUCAUAGUUCCACUAAUCAGGAGGUCUAGAAGGAGUCAUAGUACCACUAAUCAAGAGGUCUAGAAGGAGUCAUAGGUCCACUAAUCAGGAGGUCUAGAAGGAGUCAUAGUUCCACUAAUCAGGAGGUCGAGAAGGAGUCAUAGGUCCACUAAUCAAGAGGUCUAGAAGGAGUCAUAGUUCCACUAAUCAGGAAAUCUAGGAGUCAUAGUAGCACUAAUCAGGAGGUCUAGAAGGAGUCAUAGGUCCACUAAUCAGGAGGUCUAGAAGGAGUCAUAGUUCCACUAAUCAGGAGGUCUAGAAGGAGUCAUAGUUCCACUAAUCAGGAGGUCUAGAAGGAGUCAUAGUUCCACUAAUCAGGAGGUCUAGAAGGAGUCAUAGUUCCACUAAUCAGAGGUCUAGAAGAAGUCAUAGUACCACUAAUAAGGAGGUCUAGAAGGAGUCAUAGUUCCACUAAUCAGGAGUCACAGAAGGAGUCAUAGUACCACUAGUCAGGGCAUCUAUUGUGUCAGUUUUGUGUCUUUGUGUGACUUGUUUACAACGUUUUGUGUCAUUGUGCAUCUUUGCGUGUUGUUCUUGUUCUUUAGGGUUUCUGUUGGACUCAAACAGAUGAAGGACAUCAGGAACCUGUUCUGUGUUUAUACAGACCGUCAGGAAAGUUAAAUUUCA